AAUCUGAGCUUCUACACGUCGUUUGGUUCUAAGUAUGCCGAUUACCUGAGAAGUCAAAGAACUUGGGUGAGCUUAUAGGCUUAGUGUGCAACUCAACCCAAACAGGCAGAAUAGACUCAAAUACAAUAACAAUUAUAGAAAUAGAUACAAUUCAAUUACAUAUAUAAUUUCAGUUUUAGAUACAGAUACAAUCUCAUAUACAGAAUCAGAUGCAGAUAUAGAUGCAAAUACAAAUGCAAAUACAGACACAGAAACAGAUCCUACACCCAUCGACUACACACCAUCUCCGUCCCACCAAUACAUACCAAAUAGGAAUAUAAGAGCCCAUCCAUCCGUCACACCAAUAAGUGAGCAUAUAUCACUUUUUAGAAUAGCAUAGUCAAGCUGCCAGAAAUAAUGCGGUAUUCUGCCAAAAUCAAUAAGUGUGGUCAAGCCACCAUAUUAGAUAUGUGGUUAAACCACAAAUUAAGUUAUUCCGAGUUGCCCGACAAUGAUGGCUUAUAAAUAUCAGUAUGCAAUUAAACUGCCAAAACACUUCCUCCAUCACAUCAUCAUCCCACCCCAAUGCACAUGUGAAAACAUUUUACAUACUUAGAUGCACAUAAAUGAAUCAUGCUUAAAUAGAUUCUCAAAUUACAGAUCAGAAGCAUAAAUUAUACCACAGAC
rnacentral:lncRNA from 1 species